GUGGCAGCCUUGGUGUCCCAGAUCGAGAUGCUCAGGGCCAAGUAAGUGCCCUGGAGAACAAGUGUAAGUCGGGAGAGAAGAAGGUGGACUCCCUUCUGAAGGAGAAGAGAGGUCUGGAGGCGGAGCUGGAGACUGAGUCACCGAAGACCCAUGAUGCCUCAGGCCAGCUGGUCCACAUCAGCCAAGAACUGCUGAGGAAGGAACGGAGUCUGAACGAGCCACGGGUGCUGCUGUUAGAGGCCAAUCG